GGACUGUUCGCUCAGUUACUAAUGUGAUGUUCACUCCAAUCCGUGAGGGGAAGGUGAUACAAUAUGGGGACCGGACCCCUCCUCUCCCUGUUCCGAACCCCAGCAUUCCUGUGUGUGCACUUCGAGCCGGCCGCGGGAGCGAGCGAGACAGAAUGUUGCUCAAUUACAGUUUGUGUAUAGUGGUUUGGGCCAUCUUCAAGUCAAAAGAAAAGACAGAGGCAAACCCUCUCAGAUGAUCGUCCCUAAAACCUAAAACAUCUGCAUAGUAGGAGAUGUCGUUAGCUUUUUCAGGGUAACAAGUACGGACGUCGUCGGACGGGGCCACAGUGUCUCCCGACCCCUCCUGUCUCAGCCUCCAGUAUUUAUGGUGCAGUAGUUUAUGUGUCGGGGGGCUAGUCUGUUAUAUCUGGAGUAUUUCUCCUGUCUUAUCCGGUGUCCUGUGUGAAUUUAAGUAUGCUCUCUCUAAUUCUUUCUCUCUCUUGGAG
rnacentral:lncRNA from 1 species